rfam:Ricinus communis cultivar Hale ctg_1100012338678, whole genome shotgun sequence.
AACUCCUAUGAUGAAUUACUUCUAUGAGUAAAAGUAGUGGACUGAUCUCCAUUUGAUGAGUAACCAAUUCUGAGGGAUG